AACGAACGCUGGCGGCAGGCCUAACACAUGCCAGUCGAGCGAGCAUUUCGGUGCUAGCGGCGGACGGGUGAGUAACGCGUGGGAACGUGCCCUUUUCUGCGGAAUAGUCCUGGGAAACUGGGGGUAAUACCGCAUACGCCCUUUUGGGGAAAGAUUUAUCGGAGAAGGAUCGGCCCCGUUGGAUUAGGUAGUUGGUUGGGUAAUGGCCCACCAAGCCGACGAUCCAUAGCUGGUUUGAGAGGAUGAUCAGCCACACUGGGACUGAGACACGGCCCAGACUCCUACGGGAGGCAGCAGUGGGGAAUCUUAGACAAUGGGGGCAACCCUGAUCGAGCCAUGCCGCGUGAGUGAUGAAGGCCUUAGGGUUGUAAAGCUCUUUCAGCUGGGAAGAUAAUGACGGUACCAGCAGAAGAAGCCCCGGCUAACUCCGUG
rnacentral:rRNA from 1 species